UUAGCUGAAACCAAAAUAGAGGUAUAUUACUGUUAAUAAUAUUAUUGAAUUAAAACUCCAGCUAAG
rnacentral:tRNA from 1 species